UUAAAGGUACCCGUACCGCAAACCGACACAGGUGGGUGAGGAGAGUAUCCUAAGGCCCGCGAGAGAACUGUUGUUAAGGAACUCGGCAAAAUGACCCCGUAACUUAGGGAUAAGGGGUGCCACCAGCUGGUGGCCGCAGAGAAUAGGCCCAAGCGACUGUUUACCAAAAACAUAGGUUUCUGCUAAGUCGCAAGACGAUGUAUAGGAGCUGACGCCUGCCCGGUGCUGGAAGGUUAAGGGGAUCUGUUAGAGC
rnacentral:rRNA from 1 species